rnacentral:lncRNA from 1 species
CAAGACUAGUGUGGUUCUAAACGGAAGUACAGCAAAAUCUAGUUAUCAUUUCUGGAAUCUACAAAAUCCUUAGGCUGAGCAGACUUUUGUGACACAUGACUUAUGAAGCGCAAUGCAAUACACAGAACAGGAGCAACUUACCUCUGAUAGACCUGACAUGACAGGCAAGAGAGAGAAGUUUGAGCAGAAGUUUGAGCAGCCAACUGCCAGUUCCAUUUUUCUAGGACCCUCCCUAGCAAGGCAAUGUGGAGAUAAGACUAACCCAGUGAGGACAGCAUGCCUUAUGAUGGCUACCUCUUGACAGGAUCUGUGUCAGAGCAUUCAUGCAACUUUUCAACUUCAGCACUGAAUGUGGUUCCAGCUGAAGAUGGGUACCCCCAUGAUGAGAGCAUCAUGCUGUUUGAAAUAUCUCCUUGGAAAUUCCCAGCUGGUCAAUUACAUCCCAAACUGAGUCUUUCA